rnacentral:rRNA from 1 species
GUAACAAGGUCUCCGUAGGUGAACCUGCGGAGGGAUCAUUACUGAGUGAGGGCUUCGGUCCGACCUCCAACCCUUUGUGAACCAACUUGUUGCUUCGGGGGCGACCCUGCCGCUUCGGCGGCGUGGCGCCCCCGGAGGCCAUCAAACACUGCAUCAUUGCGUCGGAGUAACAGUAAAUGAAACAAAACUUUCAACAACGGAUCUCUUGGUUCCAGCAUCGAUGAAGAACGCAGCGAAAUGCGAUAAGUAAUGUGAAUUGCAGAAUUCAGUGAAUCAUCGAAUCUUUGAACGCACAUUGCGCCCUCUGGUAUUCCGGGGGGCAUGCCUGUUCGAGCGUCAUUUCACCACUCAAGCCUGGCUUGGUAUUGGGCGUCGCGGCUCCGCGCGCCUUAAAGUCUUCCGGCUGAGCCGUCCGUCUCUAAGCGUUGUGGCAACUAUUCGCUUCGGAGGUCGGGUGGCCGCGGCCGUUAAAUCUUUCACAAGGUUGACC